UUGAACGCUGGCGGCAGGCCUCACACAUGCAAGUCGCGCGGAUGAAGGGAGCUUGCUCCUGGAUUCAGCGGCGGACGGGUGAGUAAUGCCUAGGAAUCUGCCUGGUAGUGGGGGAUAACGUCCGGAAACGGGCGCUAAUACCGCAUACGUCCUGAGGGAGAAAGUGGGGAUCUUCGGACCUCACGCUAUCAGAUGAGCCUAGGUCGGAUUAGCUAGUUGGUGGGGUAAAGGCCUACCAAGGCGACGAUCCGUAACUGGUCUGAGAGGAUGAUCAGUCACACUGGAACUGAGACACGGUCCAGACUCCUACGGGAGGCAGCAGUGGGGAAUAUUGGACAAUGGGCGAAAGCCUGAUCCAGCCAUGCCGCGUGUGUGAAGAAGGUCUUCGGAUUGUAAAGCACUUUAAGUUGGGAGGAAGGGCAGUAAGUUAAUACCUUGCUGUUUUGACGUUACCAACAGAAUAAGCACCGGCUAACUUCGUG
rnacentral:rRNA from 1 species